rnacentral:lncRNA from 1 species
UUCUUUCAAUACAGAGAAGGGUUUCUCUCAUUUCUCUCUUUUCUCUCUCUAUUUUCUCUCUCUAUUUUACCUAUUUCCAUGCUUGAUUCAACUCCAAUUCACCAUAUUUACAUGGUAUCAGAGCCUGGAUCUUUCUCCCGGACAUACUCUCUAUCAUCCCCGUUCUUUGGUUGGAGUUCAUGGCGUUAUCGGUGGUGAUUUCUGUUUUUUUCCAAAGUUAUGGGUGAAGAUUCUGGAUUUUUUUGAUAUUUUGGUGAAAUCAGAGUGGUUUUGUUGACGAUUCUUCCAACGAGGUGUUAGGGUGAUUUUCCGACACCUCUUGUGCCUGAUUCCACCGGGUUUUCUGCAAGCUAGGGUUUCCUGAAAACGAAGCUAGG